GAAAAGGUUGAGAAAGGAUGGGAAAUCCAAGUAUUCGUACCAAUUGAGUUCUCUGCACUCCGCAGCUGAAGCUACCCAAGGAAAACCCAAAAAACUAAAGAACUUAAACCAACCAAAGAGAAUCUAUCACCUCACAAUGCUUUUGAAGAUCUCAAUGUAUAUCACUUUCCCAUAAGAAACAAAUGGACUUUGUGGAUAUCCCAAUUCCAUGCUUAAACCACA
rnacentral:misc_RNA from 1 species